UAAGCAUAUCAAUAAGCGGAGGNAAAGAAACCAACAGGGAUUGCCCUAGUAACGGCGAGUGAACAGGCAAGAGCUCAGAUUUGAAAGGCACUUUUGUGCCGUUGUAUUCUGAAGUUAGGGUCCUGAGAAACGAUGCUUAAGUCUUCUGGAAAGGAGCGCCAUGGAGGGUGAUAGCCCCGUCUAGCAUUGACCUCAUAUAGGAUCUUAACAUGGAGUCGAGUUGUUUGGGAAUGCAGCUCAAAUGGGUGGUAUGCUCCAUCUAAAGCUAAAUAUCUGCGAGAGACCGAUAGUAAACAAGUACUGUGAGGGAAAGAUGAAAAGAACUUUGAAAAGAGAGUGAAAAAGUACGUGAAAUUGUUGAAAUGGAAGGGUAGGCCGCUAACCAUGUAGAGCCGUGUUUGGGGGGAAGAUAAAUGCUGUAGAAUGUAGCUCCUCGGAGUAUUAUAGAUGCAGUUCAUAUUCCCACCCGAGCGCGAGGAUCUCAGGUUCUACUAAAUGGUGGUCUACCACCCGUCUUGAAACACGGACCAAGGAGUCUAUUGUCUGCGCGAGUAUUUGGGUGUCAAACCCAUAUGCGAAGUGAAAGCGAAAGGUUCUAACCUUCGGGUUCAGAAUCGGCCGACCGUUUAUAGAAGCGGAUUGAGUAGAGCGUGGAUGAUGGGACCCGAAAGAUGGUGAACUAUGCCUGAAUAGGGUGAAGCCAGAGGAAACUCUGGUGGAGGCUCGCAGCGGUUCUGACGUGCAAAUCGAUCGUCAAAUUUGGGUAUAGGGGCGAAAGACUAAUCGAACCAUCUAGUAGCUGGUUCCUGCCGAAGU
rnacentral:rRNA from 1 species